rnacentral:rRNA from 1 species
CGCUGGCGGAAUGCUUACACAUGCAAGUCGAACGGCAGCACGGGAGCUUGCUCCUGGUGGCGAGUGGCGAACGGGUGAGUAAUGCAUCGGAACGUACCUAUGAGUGGGGGAUAACUAUCCGAAAGGAUAGCUAAUACCGCAUACGCCCUGAGGGGGAAAGCGGGGGAUCGUAAGACCUCGCGCUGAUAGAGCGGCCGAUGUUCGAUUAGCUAGUUGGUGGGGUAAAGGCUCACCAAGGCGACGAUCGAUAGCUGGUCUGAGAGGAUGAUCAGCCACACUGGAACUGAGACACGGUCCAGACUCCUACGGGAGGCAGCAGUGGGGAAUUUUGGACAAUGGGGGCAACCCUGAUCCAGCCAUUCCGCGUGAGUGAAGAAGGCCUUCGGGUUGUAAAGCUCUUUCGGCAGGAACGAAACGGCCAUUACUAAUACUAGUGGUCAAUGACGGUACCUGAAGAAGAAGCACCGGCUAACUACGUGCCAGCAGCCGCGGUAAUACGUAGGGUGCGAGCGUUAAUCGGAAUUACUGGGCGUAAAGCGUGCACAGGCGGUUUUGUAAG